GACAGAGGGUGCAAACGUUGCUCGGAAUCACUGGGCGUAAAGGGCGUGUAGGCGGGACAGUAAGUCGGGCGUGAAAUCCCUGGGCUCAACCCAGGAACUGCACUCGAAACUACUAUUCUUGAGUGUCGGAGAGGAAAGCGGAAUUCCUGGUGUAGAGGUGAAAUUCGUAGAUAUCAGGAGGAACACCAGUGGCGAAGGCGGCUUUCUG
rnacentral:rRNA from 1 species